UAUCUUCAGGGCAGGGUGGAAUUCCCUACCGGCGGUAUAGCCCGCGAGCAUUUUUGCAGAUUCGGUGUAACUCCGAAGCCGACAGUAAAGUCUGGAUGAAAGAAGGUA
rnacentral:ncRNA from 1 species